rnacentral:rRNA from 1 species
UGGGGAAUAUUGCACAAUGGGCGAAAGCCUGAUGCAGCAACGCCGCGUGAGUGAUGAAGGCCUUCGGGUUGUAAAGCUCUGUCUUUUGGGACGAUAAUGACGGUACCAAAGGAGGAAGCCACGGCUAACUACGUGCCAGCAGCCGCGGUAAUACGUAGGUGGCAAGCGUUGUCCGGAUUUACUGGGCGUAAAGGAUGCGUAGGCGGAUUUUUAAGUGAGAUGUGAAAACCCUAAGCUUAACUUGGGGACUGCAUUUCAUACUGGAAAUCUAGAGUGCGGGAGAGGAGAAUGGAAUUCCUAGUGUAGCGGUGAAAUGCGUAGAGAUUAGGAAGAACACCAGUGGCGAAGGCGAUUCUCUGGACCGUAACUGACGCUGAGGCAUGAAAGCGUGGGUAGCAAAACAGGAUUAGAUACCCUGGUAGUCCACGCCGUAAACGAUGAGUACUAGGUGUAGGAGGUAUCGACCCCUUCUGUGCCGCAGUUAACACAAUAAGUACUCCGCCUGGGAAGUACGAUCGCAAGAUUAAAAACUUAAAUGAAUUGAC